rnacentral:tRNA from 1 species
GGGUAUAGCUCAGUUGGUAGAGCAUUGGUCUCCAAAACCAAGUGCCGAGGGUUCAAGUCCUUCUGCCC